GCCUGGGUGGCUCAGUCGGUUAAGCUUCUGACUUCGGCUCAGGUCAUGAUCUCACGGUUUGUGGGUUCAAGUCCCACAUGGGGCU
rnacentral:tRNA from 1 species